UACGAAGGGGGCUAGCGUUGCUCGGAAUUACUGGGCGUAAAGCGCACGUAGGCGGCUUUCUAAGUCGGGGGUGAAAUCCUGGAGCUCAACUCCAGAACUGCCUUCGAUACUGGAGAGCUCGAGUCCGGGAGAGGUGAGUGGAACUGCGAGUGUAGAGGUGAAGUUCGUAGAUAUUCGCAAGAACACCAGUGGCGAAGGCGGCUCACUGGCCCGGUACUGACGCUGAGGUGCGAAAGCGUGGGGAGCAAACAGG
rnacentral:rRNA from 1 species